rnacentral:rRNA from 1 species
CCUACGGGUGGCAGCAGUGAGGAAUAUUGGUCAAUGGGCGUAAGCCUGAACCAGCCAAGCCGCGUGAGGGUUGAAGGUUCUAUGGCUUGUAAACCUCUUUUUUAAGGGACUAAAGUGCGGGCCGUGUGCCGGUCUGGAUGUACCUUAUGAAUAAGGAUGGGCUACUCCGGUCCAGGAGGCGGCGGUAAUACGGGGGAUCCGGGCGUUAUCCGGAUUUAUUGGGUUUAAGGGGUGCGUAGGUGGGAGGUAAAGUAGGGGGGAAAAGCCCGCGGUGAAAGGGGUGAAGUGCCAUUGAUACUGGCUGGCUGGAAUGCGGAUGCGGUGGGAGGAAUGUGUGGUGUAGCGGUGAAAUGCUUAGAUAUCACACAGAACACCGAUUGCGAAGGCAGCUCACGAAUCCGCGACUGACGCUGAUGCACGAAAGCGUGGGGAUCAAACAGGAUUAGAUACCCCAGUAGUC